CUCAACAGUCUUUCAGGGAAGCUUCCCCAAGAGUUAACACAACUUACCUUUUUGGAGUUCUUUAAUGUUUCUUUCAACAAUCUGUCAGGUCCUAUACCUCAGAAUAAGCAGUUUGCAACAUUCCAAGGUACUUCAUUUGAGGGUAACCAUGGCCUGUGCGGGGAUCAAUUAUCGAAGAAGUGUAUAGAUCACGCAGGACCUUCUCUUUAUCCACCUGCCACUGAUGGUGACCAUGAUGAAUCAGAUUCUUUGUUUGAAUUUGACUGGAAAGUAAUUUUGAUUGGGUAUGUUGGUGGUCUUGUUGCUGGAGUGGCGUUGGGAAGCACUUUCAGCUCACAGGUACUUGGAUGGUUUAAAAAGUUCUUUUGAGUUGAAAGCAAAAGACAUAUCUUUCUUUUGUAUUUCUUGUUUCCUUUUGUUGUGAUUGCCUCUAGUAAGAGUGUGCUUUGUUUGUAGUUCAUCUGUUGUUAGUAUGAAAUAAUAUCAUGAAAACUAGUAAGUUCAACAAAGAAUUUGAAGAGUCAGACAAGGUAGGGCAUGAUAGUUUUGGUUUCCUUUUGUUGUAUUUAUUUGUGUUACUGUCAUAUGAACAUGAGACUUGUGUAUCUCAUGAGAAUCAGUAUGGUCUUUAUCUCUCCAAUGGAUAUGAGUUUCCUCUCUAGCUGAAUGUGCUCAUCAUUUCAAAGUAAUAAUAUUAUGUAUUGAGGAAAAAUUAUGCUAUUUUGGUGUAAGUUUACUUUACAACAAUACAAGCCGAGUCACAAACAAAGUACAAUGGAUAUAACUCUAAUAAAGUAGAAUAAAAAAGUAAUAUUCAGUGCAUGAACAAAGUUUAAUUUGAAUGCAAAAGUGAAAUUGGAUUCAUUUUAGUCAGAAACAUAUUCAGCAGCUAAUAAAAACAUUGUCUUCUGUGUAGCAAAUUUGGUUGGAAUUAUUAUAAACAUAAACUGAUAUGUGAAAUUCAUUUUGUGUAACUACUUAAUUCAAAGUUGAUUAAAGCAUGGAUUCCUCUGUACUCAAUUGCAGCUACGUCAUAAGCACGCGAAGCUUCCUCUUGUGUACUUAUUUAGUGGUUAAUUUGAUAUGUUAAUGAGAUGUUAAUGAAUUAAAAUGAAAGAUAGCCAUGUCUUUAUUUGACAGUGGAAUGGAAUUUAUUGGAGAUUCUUACAAUUGACUGUGUUGACAUACUAAAUUGGUUAUGCAUGGAAUUGAUUGGAAAGAAGACAAAAAUAGAAAAUACAAGUAGCGAGAAAAUCGGAGCAAAUUGCUGAGUCAAAUAAAAGAGACAAAUGUGGAGAAAAUAGAAGUCUUGUAUAAAAUGCAUGUAUUGGAAAUUAAUAUAAUAAAGAUGAAAUAAUAUUUUAGAAUCUACUAUAAGAGCCAAGAUUCAAAUACCUUUUCUGGAAUUAGAUAGUAAUGGACAAAGUUUUUUUUGGAGUCAAUGAAGUUAACUUCUCCAUUAGGGUAACAAAGAUAUAGACCUGUGAUGUGUAAUCCGAACCAAAAUGCACGGUCAAUUGAAAAUCAAGUUCACUACAAAACAUAUUUGUUAUAUGCAGUCCAUUUUGUUGUAGUAUAAGAACCACUCAGUAUGUGUCUACCAUUUCAUCAAACUUUCCAGUUUCAAAUAUUAAGAUACAAUGGUUUUUAUCUGCUCUCGUAUUUUGUUAGUACAAUUUGUUUUCCUUUAUUCACUCUUCUCUUUCACACUUACUACUUGUUUACCUUUAAUUCACCCAAAGUGUCAUGAAUAUGAAAGCCAUGCCUUGUUGCAAUUUAAGGAAGGUUUUCACAUUGAUAAGUUUGCCUCUGUGAAUCCUCUCGGUUAUCCUAAAACAGCAUCUUGGAAUUCCAGCACAGAUUGCUGCUCAUGGGAUGGCAUUCAAUGUGAUGACCACACAAAUCAAGUGAUUCAAAUUGAUCUUAGUAGCAGCCAACUCUAUGGUACAAUGGAUGCAAACAGCAGUCUCUUCCGCCUUGUACACCUUCGAAAGCUCGAUCUUUCAGAUAAUGACUUCAAAAACUCUCAAAUCCCAUCAAGGAUAGGUGAGCUUUCACAACUAGAAUAUCUGAAACUUCUUGAUACCAAUUUUUUUGGAGAAAUUCCACCACAAAUUUCACAGCUAUCCAAGUUGUUGUUUCUUGAACUUGGCGUCCCUGUUAUAGAAAACUCUAAAGGUAUGAUAGUCAGUCAGUUGAAUCUCAAAGUAUCCACUCUCAGAAGCUUAAUUCAAAACUCAACAAAACUUGAGACACUUGGACUUGGUUUAGUGACCAUGGCAUCCACUUUACCAGACUCACUCACAAAUCUAACUUCGUUGAAACGUCUAAUUUUUUCAAAAUGUGAAUUACAUGGUGAAUUUCCAUUAGGAGUAUUUCAUCUUCCAAACUUAAAAGUUCUGGAUUUGGGAUAUAAUCCAAAUCUCAAUGGUAGAUUGCCUGAGUUUCAGUCUAGUUCACUCACCAAGUUAGGACUUGAUGGCACUAGUUUCAAUGGUACACUGCCAGUAUCCAUUGGAAAGCUUAGUUCUUUAAACCUCCUAUCAAUUCGAGAUUGCAAUUUUUUUGGAUAUAUUCCAUCUUCGUUUUCCAAUUUGACACAGCUUAUGUACAUAGACCUUAUAAACAACAAAUUUAAGGGUGACCUUUCUGCAUCAAUAGCAAAUAUUACUAAACUAGAUCACUUGGGUGUUGGUUUCAAUGAAUUUACUGUUGAUACCAUUUCAUGGAUAGGAAAGCUCACAUCAUUAGUUGCCUUGGAUAUAUCCUCAGUCAAUAUUGGUACUGACAUCCCAUUAUCUUUUGCAAAUCUCACCCAACUUGAAGUAUUAAAUGCACAAAAUUGCAAUUUAAGAGGUGAAAUUCCAUCUUGGAUAAUGAAUCUAACAAAUUUAGUUUCCAUCAACGUAGCCUAUAAUUUUUUACAUGGAAAUGUGGAGCUUAACAAGUUUUUGAAGCUCAAAAGGCUAGUUUUCCUUAGUUUAUCAUUCAACAAACUGUUAUUGUAUAGUGGGAAAAGUUCUUCGCGUAUAACCGACUCUCGAAUUCAAGUCUUAUCAUUGGAUUCAUGCAAUUUAGUUGAGAUUCCACCAUUUAUAAGAGAUCUCAGUGAUGUGGAGUUUCUAUCAUUGUCUGAAAACAAUAUACAAUCGUUACCCAAUUGGUUGUGGAAAAAAGAGAGUCUACAAGACUUAAAAGUUUCCAACAAUUCAUUGACAGGAGCUAUUUCCCCAUCCAUAUGCAAUCUCAAAUCACUCCUAGGGCUUGAUUUAUCAUUAAACAACUUUAGCGGCAAUGUUCCCUCAUGUCUAGGGAACUUCAGCCAAUCUUUAGAAAAUCUUAUUCUACAAGGGAACAAAUUGUCUGGCCUCAUUCCUCAAACAUUCAAGAUCGGAAAUGCCCUUCAGCAGAUUGAUCUCAGCAACAACAAUCUGCAGGGUCAGUUGCCAAGAGAAUUGAUCAAUAAUAGAAGACUAGAGUACUUUGAUGUUAGUCAUAACAAUAUCAAUGAUUCAUUUCCAUUCUGGUUGGGAAACUUGCCUGAGUUGAAGGUAUUGGCUUUAAGUAAUAAUGAAUUUCAUGGAGAUAUUAGGUGCUCUGGCAACAUGACUUGCACAUUUCCCAAACUUCACAUCAUUGAUCUUUCUCAUAAUAAGUUCUCUGGAAGUUUUCCAUCAGAAAUGAUCCAAAGUUGGAAAGCAAUGAAAACUUCCAAUACAAGUGAAUUACAGUAUGAUCAAAGGUCACAAUUUGCAAAGACCUACAAAAAUGGAGACAGUGUGACAACAAAGAUUCCUUAUUUGUUCAUGAUGUCAAACAAAGGGAUGCUAAUGGUUUAUCAGAAUCUACAAGAGUUUUACAACAUGAUAGCGAUUGAUAUUUCAAGCAACAAAAUCAGUGGAGAGAUACCACAAGUCAUAGGUGACUUGAAGGGUCUUAUUUUGCUCAACCUGUCCAAUAACAUCCUUAAUGGCAGCAUUCCACUUUCCUUUGGGAAGCUUUCAAACCUUGAAGCACUGGAUCUUUCUUUCAACAAUCUUUCUGGAAAGAUUCCCCAACAGUUUGCACAACUUACUUUUUUGGAGUUCCUAAAUGUGUCCUUCAACGAUCUCUCAGGUCCUGUACCUCAGAAUAAGCAAUUCGCUACAUUCCAAGAUAAUUCAUUUGAGGGUAACCAAGGUUUGUGUGGAGAGCAAUUGUUGAAGAAGUGUAUAGAACACGGAGGGCCUUCUUUUUCUCCACCUUCUGCCUCUGAUGUUGACCAUGAAUCAGAAUCUUUGUUUGAACUUUACUGGAAUGUAAUUCUGAUUGGGUAUGUAGGUGGUCUUGUUGCCGGCGUGGUAUUAGGAAGCGCUUUCUACCCGGAUGUAGUUGGAUGGCUUAAAAGGUUCUUUUGAGUUGAAAACAAAAAGCCUCUCUUUCUCUUGUAUUUAUUGUUCUCAUCUGUUAUAGUUUAUUUUUAUUGUUGUGACUACUUAUAAUAAGUGUGUGCUUUGUAUGGUAUAGUUUUCAUUUGUUCUUGUGAUUGAUUGCCUCUAGUAACAAACAGUGUGCUUUGGACCACAUUUUGGUGUUUCAAUGAGGUUACCAAAAAGUAUGAUUGUUGUGGCUUAUUUGAAUUUGAAUUGUUAUAUAUUGUCUUCUUUUUGUGCUAAUUAUUUUUACUCUAACCAUGCAUCUGUGACUGUAUUAGAUUAUGCAAUAAGGAAAUAAUUAACAUCACAAUAUAUUUCUUGCUGCCACAACAUCUAAUAUCCAGCAUAUAAUUAAAUUAGCCAGCUAUUAUGAUCAAAUUAUGUGCCUUAAUUGUUGUUAUCAAUUUAAAACUUUUUUCUUAAUAACUUUAACAGAAGAUUCUAUUAAAGAAAAACAAAAAAGAUCAUGAAAUAACUGUCAUUGACAGUUUAUCCUCGAAUGGCAGAAAGAGGCAAACCGUAGACAGUGCUCAAAAACUACAAUUGAUCAACGUAAAGCUCAUAAUCUUUUGAAAUAUAGAAAAGAACUAAUCUUACAUUACUUUGUCAUUCAAGUUGGAUAACAUACUCACCUGAAUAACUCACUUGGCUCCUAACCCAUUACAAGUAAAAAACUGAGGCAGAAACACAUUUUCCAGUUUGCUGGUGAGCGCAAACCGGUUGGAAACAAUAAGUCCACAGCAGGAAAAGUUGCAAAGUUUAGAGGAAACCGAUCACAACACGGAACCAACUAUUGAAAGGGAAUGGAUUCUAUGAUGACCUUUAGUACUACUUAAGCAUCACAUUUAGGCCCUGCUAUUGCUGUCAUUUUUCGGGUUCUGCUGCACAUAAACUUAAUACCAAUCCUGCCACAUACUAUACACUUGUUUCCCCCGCUGUUCUGUGAUUAAUAUAUCAUUAUUCCACACCUAAUUAUUUCGAUUCUGCAACAGUAUCCACACCAUUACUGCCACCCGACCUGCUACCAGCUGGUCCUCGCACAUCUUCAUAUUUUCGAACAAAACUGUUGCAGCAGAUUGAAGAUUAUGAACAUGAUGCUGAACAACGCUCAACAAACCUGCGAUUUGCCAACAUUAUUUUCUCUAGAAACAAUUAAAGAAAACAUUAUGGAUUGACUUUAAUAGGGAAAACAAAAUUCAUCUAAGUCUUUUUCUCUUGAUAAGGCAUCACUAUAUGUUAUUUUUUUACUCACUAAUCACUAUAAAUCUAUAAAGAUAGAUAUUUUUCUUCCUAAUCCUUACAUAUUUUUAGGUGAUUAAUCUUGUUUCUAGAAGGAUCUAGAUGAAUCCAAUUAGAGGAGUUAUUGGUGGAUUUGUUAGGAUUGACCAAUGCUAUAAAUAAGAAACUGGUGAAUAUAUGUAAUCAUUCAAGCAAAAUUAAUGAAGUUGUUUGUUAGUAUAGUGUAGUGUUUUUAGCAAUAUUCUCCUCCAUUAAUGAACAACUAACAAGUUGUUCAUUACAAAACCAUAUAAUACAAGAAUAUGUUUUACUUUGUAAGGAUCCAAAAUUACACAAGGACAUAGGUUUAAAUUCUGUUGUCAAUAUGAAGAUUUCGGUGGAAGGUCUGUAUGCAUAUCCGAAACCUACCGAGCCAACUCACUUAAACUUUAUUAUCAAUAAAAAUGUAAAUUCCAUAAAUUUCUGAUGCAAAUACUACCAGUGAAUGUACAAAGCAUCAAAUAGACCUUGCAUCGUAUGGGCCUGUAACUACGACGAAAUUAGCUAUGAUUGCAUAAUUUUUAAUUUAAUUAAGGGACUAAACUUGUAUUGUAAGGAUCAAAUAGACCUUGUAUCGUAAGGAUCCAUAGUCGCACAACUACGACGAUUGCUGCUUCCUCUUGUGGGCCUAUGUUGGUCAAAUUGAUAUGUUAAUGAGAUGUUAAUGAUUUUUUAAAACAGAAAUUUUAAUGAAUUAAAAAUGAAAGAUAGCUAUGUCUUUAUUUUUUGUGCCAAUGUGUGUGUGAUUGUAUGAUUUCAUAUUUUUCAAGCAAGUGUUCUUUUUUCAAUUAGCCAAGACUUUUACAAUCUCUUAAUGCUGGUAUUUGUCAAGAGGAUAAGAUCAUAUUAUUUGGUCAUAGUUUGCAUUAUUUCUAUCACUCUAAUGAUUUGGACAGAAUCCACAUUGAAACUUUUGCAAUUGACAGAGUCAAGAUAUUAAAUUGGAUGAAGUUUCAUUAAAUGGUUAUCCAAUAAUAGAGCCAAAUGUCAAAGAUUAUGAAUGGACAGAAAAUUAAGUUUGUGGAUGACAAUGAAAAAAGCUUCAGUACAUGAUCAUGUUAUUUAUGAAGCUCUGACAUGGCUAUUAGAGGGCGAGUCCAUAUCCAAUGUUUUUUACAUUAGCGGUGUCCUCGUGUCCGUUUUGUGUCCCGUGUACGUGUCCAAGUCCAGGCUAUAAGAGCCAAUAUUCAAAUACCUUUCUUGAAUUUAAACACUAAAGGUCAAAAAGGUAUUUGAAUAUUGCCUCUUAUAGCGUAACACAAAAUAUAUGAUCAGGAAACAUAUUCAGGAGCUAGGCCCAUAUAUGUGUAAUCCAAACUGUUAAAAAGUCUCACAUCGAAUAUGAGAUUGCCUGACAAGUGUUUAUAAGCAAGUGGCAAUCCUCACCUUACAAGCCGGUUUUGUAAGGAUGAGUUAGGCCCAUACUUAUUUCUAAUACAAACCAAAAUGCACGGUCAAUUGACAAUCAGGUUCACUACAAAACAUUUUCAUUUGUAAUAAUCAGUCCACUGUUGUAGUAUAAGAACCACCUAGUAUGUGUCUAACAUUUCAUCAAACAUUUCAGUUUAAAAUAUUAAGAUACAAUGGUCUCUGUUUGGUCUCUUGUUUUGUUAGUACAGUUUCUUUUCCAUUAUUCACUCUUCUCUUUCACAUUCACAACAUGUUUUCCUUUAAUUCACCCAAAGUGUCAUGGUGAUGAAAGUCGUGCCUUGUUGCAAUUUAAGAAAGGCUUUCACAUUGAUAAGUCUGCCUCUUUGAAUCCUCUCAGUUAUCCUAAAACAGCAUCUUGGAAUUCCAGCAUAGAUUGUUGCUCAUGGGAUGGCAUUCAAUGUGAUGAGCACACAAAUCAAGUGAUUCACAUUGAUCUUAGAAGUUGCCAACUCUAUGGUAGAAUGGAUGCAAACAGCAGUCUCUUCCGCCUUGUACACCUUCGAGUUCUUGAUCUUUCUGAUAAUGACUUCAAUUACUCUCAAAUUCCGUCCAAAAUAGGUGAGCUUUCACAACUUAGAUAUUUGAACCUUUCUCUUGGCAUAUUUUCUGGAGAAAUUCCACCACGAAUUUCACAGUUGUCCAAAUUGUUGUAUCUUGAUCUAGGCGUCAAUAUUACAUCAUAUUCUAGCUCAGUCAAUCUGUUGCAACUGAAAUUGUCCAGUCUCAGAAGCAUAAUUCAAAACUCAACAAAACUUGAAUCACUUGAACUUAGUUUUGUUACUAUUUCAUCUACUUUACCUGAGACACUCACAAAUCUUACCUCAUUGCAAGUUUUGAGUUUUCAAAAUUCGGACUUAUAUGGUGAAUAUCCAAUUGGAGUAUUUCAUCUUCCAAACUUGAAAAUUUUGAAUUUGAGAUAUAAUCCAAAUCUCAAUGGUAGGUUGCCUGAGUUUCAUUCAAGUUCACUCACCAUAUUAGCACUUGAUGAAACAGGUUUUUAUGGCACAUUACCAGUUUCCAUUGGAAAUCUUAGUUCCUUAUAUGCACUGACAAUUCCAAAUUGCCAUUUUUUUGGUUAUAUUCCUUCUUCGAUUGGCAACCUCACACAACUCAAGAAGAUAAACUUUCGAUAUAACAAAUUUAGGGGAGACCUUUCUACAUCCCUGGCAAAUCUUGCGAACCUAAGCUUCUUGUAUGUUGGUUUCAAUGAAUUUACUAUUGAGAACAUCUCAUGGAUAGGUAAGUUUUCAUCAUUAAUUGGCUUGGAUAUAUCCUCAAUCAAUAUUGGCAGUGGCACUGACAUCCCAUUAUCUUUUGCAAAUCUCACCCAGCUAGAAGUAUUAAGUGCAGAUAAUAGCAAUAUAACGGGUGAAAUUCCAUCUUGGAUAAUGAACCUAACAAAUUUAAUUUUCUUGAACCUACCCUAUAACUUGUUGCAUGGAAAGCUAGAGCUUGACACAUUUAUGAAGCUCAGAAAGCUAGUUUUUCUUGAUUUAUCAUUCAACAAAUUAUCAUUUGGGAAACGUUCUUCCAAGAUGAUUGAUUCUCGCAUUCAAGUCUUAGGUUUGAAAUCAUGCAAUUUAGUUGAGAUUCCAGCAUUUAUCAAAGAUCUUGGUGAUCUGGGAUAUCUUUUGUUGUCAAACAACAAUAUAACAUAUCUACCCAAUUGGUUGCGGAGAAAAGCAAGUCUACAAAUCUUAAUUGUUUCCCACAAUUCAUUGAUAGGAGAAAUAUCCCCAUCCAUAUGCAAUCUCAAAUCACUCGUGCAUGUUGAUUUAUCGUUCAACAAUUUAAGCGGCAAUAUUCCCUCCUGUUUGGGGAACUUUAGCCAAUCUUUAGAUACUCUGAUGCUAAAAGGGAACAAACUGUCUGGCCUCAUUCCUCAAACAUACAUGAUAGGAAAUUCCCUUCUUCAGAUUGAUCUCAGCAACAACAAUCUGCAGGGUCAGUUGCCAAGGGCAUUGGUCACCUGCAGAAGGCUGGAGUACUUUGAUGUUAGUCAUAACAAUAUCAAUGAUUCCUUUCCAUUCUGGCUGGGAGACUUACCUGAGUUGAAGGUAUUGGGUUUAAGUAACAAUGAAUUUCAUGGAGACAUUAGGUGCUCUGGAAAAAUUAAAUGCACAUUUCCCAAGCUUCACAUUAUUGAUCUUUCUCACAAUGAAUUCUCUGGCAAUUUUCCAUCAGAAAUGAUCCAAAGUUGGAAAGCAAUGAAAACUUCUAACACAAGUCAAUUACAGUACGAGCAAAAAUUAGUUAUAUCAGGGUUCUACAAGCCAGGACAAUUGUCCGCAACCGUAGACAAGUCUUACUCGUUCACAAUGUCAAACAAAGGGCUGGUGAUGGUCUAUGAGAAGCUUCAAGAGUUUUAUAGCUUGAUAGCCAUUGAUAUUUCUAGCAACAAAAUCAGUGGAGAGAUACCAAGAGUGAUAGGCGACUUAAAGGGUCUUGUUUUGCUCAACUUGUCAAAUAACAUCCUUAUUGGAAGCAUUCCGUCUUCCUUAGGGAAGCUUUCAAAGCUCGAAGCAUUGGACCUUUCUCUCAACAGUCUUUCAGGGAAGCUUCCGCAACAGUUAACACAACUUACCUUUUUGGAGUUCUUUAAUGUGUCAUUCAACAAUUUGUCAGGUCCUAUACCUCAGAAUAAGCAGUUUGCAACAUUCCAAGGUAAUUCAUUUGAGGGUAACCAAGGUCUGUGUGGGGAUCAAUUAUCGAAGAAGUGUAUAGAUCACGCAGGACCUUCUUUUUCUCCACCUGCCUCUGAUGGUGACAAUGACUCAGAAUCUUUGUUUGAACUUUACUGGAGUGUAAUUCUUAUUGGGUA
rnacentral:lncRNA from 1 species